AUCUAGCUGAAGAGUCCAAAAUAGGACGAAAUGCGUGUCUUUGAU
rnacentral:hammerhead_ribozyme from 1 species